GGGCGGUCUCCUCCUAAAGAGUAACGGAGGAGCACGAAGGUUGGCUAAUCCUGGUCGGACAUCAGGAGGUUAGUGCAAUGGCAUAAGCCAGCUUGACUGCGAGCGUGACGGCGCGAGCAGGUGCGAAAGCAGGUCAUAGUGAUCCGGUGGUUCUGAAUGGAAGGGCCAUCGCUCAACGGAUAAAAGGUACUCCGGGGAUAACAGGCUGAUACCGCCCAAGAGUUCAUAUCGACGGCGGUGUUUGGCACCUCGAUGUCGGCUCAUCACAUCCUGGGGCUGAAGUAGGUCCCAAGGGUAUGGCUGUUCGCCAUUUAAAGUGGUACGCGAGCUGGGUUUAGAACGUCGUGAGACAGUUCGGUCCCUAUCUGCCGUGGGCGCUGGAGAACUGAGGGGGGCUGCUCCUAGUACGAGAGGACCGGAGUGGACGCAUCACUGGUGUUCGGGUUGUCAUGCCAAUGGCACUGCCCGGUAGCUAAAUGCGGAAGAGAUAAGUGCUGAAAGCAUCUAAGCACGAAACUUGCCCCGAGAUGAGUUCUCCCUGACUCCUUGAGAGUCCUGAAGGAACGUUGAAGACGACGACGUUGAUAGGCCGGGUGUGUAAGCGCAGCGAUGCGUUGAGCUAACCGGUACUAAUGAACCGUGAGG
rnacentral:rRNA from 1 species